UAAACACACAUCCAUCUUCUGAGCGGUGCUAUCUUAAGUCUAGGUGGAAGCCUUCAAAACAGGAACCUGGUCAAUUGCAAACCUUCCUCCUAACCCAGGCUCCUCAUCCCCAGAGCCGGCUAUGAAGAAAGAUGGUUUGGGAACAGGGAAAGAAGAUCUGGUUAGGAGCCAUCCCGGCUGCUUGUCUCUUAAUGUCAGUAAAGACAGGGUUUCGCCAUGUUGCCCAGGCUGGUCUUGAACUCCUGACCUCAAGGGAUCCACCUGCCUCGGCCUCCCAAAAUGCUGGGAUUACAGGUGUGAACCACUGCACCCAGCUGUUUUGAAAGGGGACACAGAACAGCUGGAUGCCAAAGAGAUGUCCUAAAACAAAAUGGGAUAGCCCAUAUACUCCUAAUAGGCUGGAGGUGGACUGAAGGAAGAAUCUAACAACAUUUCUGGCUCUAAAAGACAAAAAAAAAAAAAAAAACACAAAAAAAACAAAGUUACAGAUAAAUGAAAGAACUGAAGAAUAGUGCCUGCUGGUGUGCAUGACAUCAGUUUACCCCAGGCUACUUCAGCACACACUUGGCAGGCCAGCAGGCUGUUAUCCAUCUUGGACAGGGGCACGUGAACCAAGGACAAAGUGAAUAUUGAACACAUCUCAACACGUGGACAACCCUUGGGACUCAACUUUCUCACCCAGGUCCUUUGGUAAUAAAUGGAUUCUACUUUUGACGUGGAUUUUUGCUUAGAGAGCUUUGUAUCAUCUUGAAGAAGAUGCAUACAAAAUUGUAAACACAGAAGUACUAGUACCCCAUCCAGGGCCCCCAUGAAGAGCAUAGCAGAUCCUUCCCUGGUCUUGAACAGUUCUUUUUGUUAUGUGACUUUGGACCCUUCACUUUACAUUGCUAAGCC
rnacentral:lncRNA from 1 species